rnacentral:other from 1 species
UCAUCUCUAGGAUGUACGCCAAUCUGUCACGUCCCCUGAGCCGAUAUUUUCUUUUACGGAAAUGACGCUUUGUCGCGGUGAGCAUGUCUGCUAAGUCGCAAGACCUCUGGUUCAGAAAGCCUAAUGUUUCAAGCUCGUUUCCACCUUGAACCUCUGGGUUCAAGGGUCUCGAUGGAUAGCGGCAUUCUGGAGUAACU